AGCUACUUCUCCAUCAUCAGUCUGAUGAUUCUACUCACCUAUCCCAGAUAAGAAGAAAAAACAAAAAUAUUGAAACAUAAAGAGAAGAAAGGAUCUGCGAGACUAAUGCGGGAGAUGACGAAUCACGCAUCAAAUGAAGUGGUGGUAGGGUCAUGGUGAGCUAUGGCGGUGACAGCAGAGUUGAGUCGCGAGGAGGUGGUGUGGUCACGGCUUGGCUGUGAUGGUUGUAUGACUUAAAAAAAACACAGACCAGAACAGUGGAGAGAAGGAAACAGAGUAACGAAGAGAAUGAAGAAGAUAGUUUCGAGAUGGUUUUUGCAUGCACAAUCUUGAUAUUUUCCAAGCCACAUAUGUCAGAUUGAAGGUGUAUAUUUACGGAGGACAUGUGAAGGCAUAAAAUAUGUCGUAAGUAUUUUUAAAGGUAAGACAAAGCCAUAAUCGUCAUUGCAAAAAUAUGUGUGUUAAGGCAAAUUUGGAAGAGUACAUGAAA